UAAGGAAUAUUGGUCAAUGGUGGAAACACUGAACCAGCCAUGCCGCGUGCAGGAUGAAGGACCUCUGGUUUGUAAACUGCUUUUAUCUGGGAAGAAACCCUGGGGCGUGUCCCGGGCUGACGGUACCAGAGGAAUAAGCACCGGCUAACUCCGUGCCAGCAGCCGCGGUAAUACGGAGGGUGCAAGCGUUAUCCGGAAUCACUGGGUUUAAAGGGUGCGUAGGCGGCUCUAUAAGUCUGUAUUGAAAGCAUCCGGCUUAACCGGGUAACUGGUAUGGAUACUGUAGGGCUUGAAUAAGGAUGAGGCUGGCGGAAUGUGACAUGUAGCGGUGAAAUGCAUAGAUAUGUCAUAGAACACCAAUUGCGAAGGCAGCUGGCUAGGCCUUUAUUGACGCUGAGGCACGAAAGCGUGGGGAGCGAACAGG
rnacentral:rRNA from 1 species